UACGUAGGGUGCAAGCGUUGUCCGGAAUUAUUGGGCGUAAAGAGCUCGUAGGCGGUCUGUCGCGUCGGCUGUGAAAACUCGGGGCUCAACCCCGAGCCUGCAGUCGAUACGGGCAGACUAGAGUGCUGUAGGGGAGACUGGAAUUCCUGGUGUAGCGGUGAAAUGCGCAGAUAUCAGGAGGAACACCGGUGGCGAAGGCGGGUCUCUGGGCCGAUAUUGACGCUGAGGUGCGAAAGCGUGGGGAGCAAACAGG
rnacentral:rRNA from 1 species